UGGUAGAUGCACCCUGGUUAAAGCCCUAGACUCAAUUGUCAGGGCUUUUUUAU
rnacentral:sRNA from 3 species